rfam:Pteropus alecto contig74845, whole genome shotgun sequence.
GGUUCCAUAGUGUACAAAUCAGCACAUUUGCUUUACACGCAGAAGAUCCUGGGUUCGCGCCCCAGUGGAGCCA